GCCCCGCCCCGCGCAGCCGCGCUGGGGCCCCGCGCACCUGUGCGGACCCCGCCCUUCACACCUGUGCCGGCCCCGCCCCGCUCCGCCCGCGCCCGUAAAUGCCGGCGGAUCCGCGCCCGCUCCGCUUUGUGCGGUGAACGCUCAUCCUGCUCAUCCCGGGCUGCGGCGGGACCGUCGUUCGGGGCGCUGUGCGGAGCCCGGCACCGGGGGCUGCUCCCGGCGCUGCGCCGAGCCCGAGGCGCUGAGAGCACAGGACAUCCUGAGUGGGAAGGGAUACACAAGGACCACCAAGUCGAGCCCUUAUGUGAAUGGCUCCUCUGGGGAUUGAACCCACACCUGGGCAUUCUCAGUACACUGCUCCAACCAAGCCAAUCUCAGCUCCUGGCAAUGUCCUGCCUGGGAUGGGAAUGCCAAGUGCCAGCAAGGAUUUACCCAACAGCUGUCAAGGUGCUCGUUCCAUGGCCCUUUCCAGGGAGAAAUGAGCAAGGCAAGGCCUGAGGGUUCACUUGGUCCAUGGCCAAAGUUCUUCUGAAGAGUGUCAGGGCUGCUCCUGCCUGCAGAGGGGCGUUUCCUGCAGUUCCCCACUGAGAAGAACACAACCUCACAGCUGUUAAGGCCUGACAGUUCCCUGCAGGGAGAGCUCAGCACAUGUGCCCAGAGGCAAUCCCAGCAUCUGCAAGAAAGAAAGAAGCAGCAAAAGUGACUUUUGCAAGCAAACUCUGAAGCUGACAAGCCCAGAAGCUCCAUCCAUCCACUCUGGAAGGAAAGGAUACUCCCAGGGAUGAGGCACAUUCCCAGCAAACUCUCCCAACACAGCCUGGAGGCAGCGCUGGAGCUCGGCUGUGGGGCUGGGAAGGGCUGCCAGGAGCACGCAGCCCCCAGGGGGGGUGGCAGCGGCAGCAGCAAAUUCCCACAGGCUGAUGGCACAACAGAGAGACAAAGGCCAGCAGUGGCCACGGGAGGUGCAGGGUUAAUUCUGCUCCCUGCCCUGCCCCAUCCCUGCAGGAAAGCUCCAGGGGGGAGAGAAACUCUCAGGGUGCCCAAAAUGCAGCAUCUGUCACCCUGAUCCUGCUUCAACUCAGCGUGGGGGACCAAACUCCCCCCACAGGUAAACACUGAGCUGAGCUGGUCAGUCUCAAACACAGCCCCAGUUCUCAGCUCCAGCCUGCUCCUGGGGCUGCUGCCACAUUCCUGACAAGGAGCCCCUGUGGACAGGGCUCUCUCUGUGUCUCAGGUGCUGGGCACUGCAGGGACCAGGGCAGCCCCCUCUGGGGACAAUUGGGGAUUCAUCCCACACCACAGGCAGGACCAGGGGCCCUCCAGUACAGGCUGGUGGGGCCAGAGCCCAUUGGGUUUGGCUGCUCAAACACCAAAGCUUUUGGCAAAGAUGGGAUGAGUUAAGUGGGUUUUCCUGUCCUGAGACAGAGAAGAAAUUGUUGAAAUUAAGCAUGGAAAUUAAGUCCACUGUGGAAGUCAAAGGCUCCUGGCUUUCCCACUCCUGUUCUGAUUGCUCACUAGAGGGUUUUAUCCAUAACAAAUGAGAGGUGGCACCAAAUAAAAGAGCUCUUUUUCAA